rnacentral:rRNA from 1 species
GUGAGGAAUAUUGGGCAAUGGGCGAAAGCCUGACCCAGCCACGCCGCGUGAGUGAUGAAGGCCUUCGGGUUGUAAAGCUCUGUGGGGAGGGAAGAAAAAGCGGGAGAGUAACUGCUCUCGUGUUGACGGUACCUCCUUAGCAAGCACCGGCUAACUCUGUGCCAGCAGCCGCGGUAAUACAGAGGGUGCAAACGUUGCUCGGAAUUACUGGGCGUAAAGCGCGUGUAGGCUGACGUGCAAGUCGGGUGUGAAAUCCCAGGGCUCAACCUUGGAACUGCACUCGAAACUGCACGUCUUGAGUACUGGAGAGGGAAGCGGAAUUCCGGGUGUAGAGGUGAAAUUCGUAGAUAUCCGGAGGAACACCAGUGGCGAAGGCGGCUUCCUGGACAGUAACUGACGCUGAGACGCGAAAGCGUGGGGAGCAAACAGGAUUAGAAACCCGUGUAGUCC